rnacentral:rRNA from 1 species
UACGUAGGGGGCAAGCGUUGUCCGGAUUUAUUGGGCGUAAAGAGCGUGUAGGCGGCCAUGCAGGUCAGCUGUGAAAACUCGAGGCUCAACCUCGAGACGUCGGUUGAAACCGCAUGGCUAGAGUCCGGAAGAGGAGAGUGGAAUUCCCGGUGUAGCGGUGAAAUGCGCAGAUAUCAGGAAGAACACCAAUGGCGAAGGCAGCUCUCUGGGACGGUACUGACGCUGAGACGCGAAAGCGUGGGGAGCAAACAGG